ACACUGUGGUAUAAGCAACAUCUCAGCAAGUCCUUGCACCUCUCCCACGCAUCAUACAUUCUCUCAUCAUCAAACUGCACAAAAGAAGAAAUAUCAUUUUACAGCUU
rnacentral:snoRNA from 1 species